rnacentral:ncRNA from 1 species
CAAAGGCUUGGUCCUAGCUUUACUAUUAUUUACUACCAAACUUACACAUGCAAGCAUCCGCACCCCUGUGAGAAUGCCCUUAACCCUCUUAUGAGAUCAAGGAGCUGGUAUCAGGCGCAUAUAAUUGCCCACAACACCUUGCUUAGCCACACCCCCAAGGGAAUUCAGCAGUGAUAAACAUUAAGCCAUAAGUGUAAACUUGACUUAGUUAAGGUUUUUAGAGCCGGUAAAACUCGUGCCAGCCACCGCGGUUAUACGAGAGGCUCAAGAUAAUAGAAAUCGGCGUAAAGAGUGGUUAAGUAUUAAAUAACUAAAGUUAAACAUCUUCCAGGCUGUUAUACGCACCCGAAGAUAUGAAGCUCAUUUACGAAAGUGACUUUAUAUAACUGAACCCACGAAAGCUAUGAAACAAACUGGGAUUAGAUACCCCACUAUGCAUAGUCUUAAACAAAAGUAUUUUAAUUACAUCAUACUCGCCAGGGUACUACGAGCUUUAGCUUAAAACCCAAAGGACUUGGCGGUGCUUUACACCCACCUAGAGGAGCCUGUUCUAUAACUGAUAACCCCCGUUAAACCUCACCCUAUUUUGCUUAAUCAAUUUAUAUACCGCCGUCGUCAGCUUACCUUGUGAAAGAACAACAGUGAGCAGAACUAGUAACAACCCAAAACGUCAGGUCGAGGUGUAGUUUAUAAUAGGGGAAGAAAUGGGCUACACUCAUUUACUAAUGAAUACGGAUGGUAUAUUGAAACAUAAACCUAAAGGAGGAUUUAGCAGUAAGAAGAAAAUAGAGUGUUCAUCUGAAAUUGGCUCUAAAGCGCGCACACACCGCCCGUCACUCUCCCCAAUAAUAUAACUUCAAUUAAUUAAAACCUUAAUAAAAUACAAGGGGAGGCAAGUCGUAACAUGGUAAGUGUACCGGAAGGUGUGCUUGGAAUAC